ensembl:lncRNA
UUUAAACCACAGAAUGGAGGAUAUCCUGUUGGGAACCAAGCAGGCGUUCCCUGUGUCCCGGGUUCCUGGGCUCCAGGCUGAGGGGUGACAGGACCCCAGGAGUUCACUUCCGGGUCAAGGGAGGAGUUCACUUCCGGGUCAAGGGGAGGCACUGACGCCGUUUCCACAAGGGAAAACUUGAAGACCUUAUCAUAGGAAUUUUGUAUUAUAGACCAAAAUCCUAUAUUACACUAUGGACUAUUUUUGUUGCAAGUUGGAAUAUUCCAGAAGGCUUUCAAGAAUCUGGGAGUAGCAAAGAACAUGGGAGCCCUGGAGCUCGAGCUCCUUAUCCCCUGACAGUCAGUCUAACCAGGCCACUCUAAGUUAGCGGCCAUCCACUGACGGGCCGCUUGUCCCCAAGGGCGGGCUGAGCUCUCUUCACCCCUCAGGCUGGCUCCCCUCAGUCUCCGUCCCAACGGGGCAGCAAGUCUUCUAAGAAGGGGACCCUGUGUUGUGCCUCUUGGGGAGUCAGACAUGUCAGACGGGUGCACCGUGAAAGCAUGCAUGUAAUAAUGUUGGGUUCGCAUCACCACCGAGCAGAAGAGCUCAGUGUGGACAUCAGCGGCUCCACAGGAACUGCCCUGAGACAGCUGCAGCCUGGGGUGGAAGCCGUCCUGCCGUCUCCCUCUCUUGCAGCCUCAAAGAGCACGUGAGAUUUGCUGUUGUUCAGUCGUAAGUCAUGUCCAACUCUUUGUGAUGCCAUGGACUGCAGCACGCCAGGCUCGUCUAUCACUGACUGUCUCCCAGAGCUUGCUCAAAUUCUUGUCCGUUGAGUCGGUGAUGCCAUCCAACCACCUCAUCCUCUGUUGUCCCCUUUUCUUCCUGCCUUCAAUCUUCCCCAGCAUCAGGGUCUUUCCAGUGAGUCAGCUCUUCGCAUCAGGUGGCCAAAGUAUUGGAGCUUCAGCUUCAGCAUCAGUCCUUCCAAUGAAUAUUCAGAGUGGAUUUCCUUUAGGAUGGAUUGGUUGGCUCUCCUCGCUGUCCAAGGGACUCUCAAGAGUCUUCUCCAGCAUCACAGUUCAAGAGCAUAAAUUCGACCGAGGGGUGGAACCCACGUCUCCUGCAAGGCCUGGUGAAUUCUUAACCGCUGAGCUACAAGGGAAGCCCUUAGCAGGAUUUUGCCUGUAGCAGAGAGAACCAGGGGAGAGGCGUCCGGCAAACAGCCGUGUGGUUCAGCUGGAAUGAAGGAAGCAGGAGGGGCAGGCUGGCUGGAGAGGGAGGAUGAUGCCUUGAAUGUUGGGCGGAGGUUUGAGCAGUUGUUUCCUGUGCUUUAGAAAGGGCUGUGCUGGGGCUUCCCCGGUGGCUCAGAGGUAAAGAGCUUGCCUGCCCAAGCAGGAGACACGGGCUUGACUUCUGAUCUGUGAAGUGCUCCAGAGAGUGCUCCACAGAGUGCUCCUGUGCUCCAGAGCCCGUGCUCCACCUCCAGAGAGUAGUCCUCACUCACCGCAGCAGCAAAGACCCAGCACAGCACAGAACAGAGUGUCGAUGAGUAAAGAAAGGGGCGCGUCUAGGGCGCGUGUGCCACACCGAGUGUCAUUGUUGCCGUGAAACCAGGCAGCCACCCCUCUUUCAAAAAUGUAUAUAUUUAUUUGCCCAUGCUGGGUCUUAGCUGUGGCAUGUAGGAUCUUUGUGGUGGCACGCCGGCUCUAGUUCCCCGACCAGAGAUGGAACCCACGCCCCCUGCAUUGGCAGUGUGGCAUCGUCCCUGCUGGACCACCUGAGAAGACCCUCACCCUCUGUGACACUGACUCAUUGCAUCGUCCCCCAGAACUACCACCCACUACAGAAAUGCAGGGACGGCCUGGACACCACACACUUUCCUGUCUGCAGAGCCUGGGUGCUGUGAUGGUCUCUUUCUCAAGAUCGUUUCAGUGGACUCACUCUGGCGUAAAACGAAACCAGCGAGUGAAUUCUCACAAAGCUGACAAGAACUGGGAUUUUCCACGGAGAACAGAAGAGAGCACGCACACCGCUCCUCUCCCGAGGUCGACAGUGUCGGGCCUCGUAGCAUCUUAGGAGUUUGCUCUCUCCCUUCUCCCACGUUUGACGGGCGGGAAGUCCAGCCCAAAUCUAAAGUGGCCGUGAAGUCGGCUGACA